rnacentral:rRNA from 1 species
UACGGAGGGUGCGAACGUUAAUCGGAAUUACUGGGCGUAAAGCGUGCGCAGGCGGUCUUUUAAGUCAGAUGUGAAAUCCCCGGGCUUAACCUGGGAACUGCGUUUGAAACUGGAAGGCUAGAGUGUGGCAGAGGGGGGUGGAAUUCCACGUGUAGCAGUGAAAUGCGUAGAGAUGUGGAGGAACACCGAUGGCGAAGGCAGCCCCCUGGGCUAACACUGACGCUCAUGCACGAAAGCGUGGGGAGCAAACAGG